UUUAGUACUUUAGUGGUUUUGGGUAUCAAUGGAGUACCUACAAAAAGACUAUGUGAAUUAAAUGCGCAAAACGAAUGUACGAAAGUCAUAAAUGCACUCUACACCGUUGAGAAUGGAGAAGGGAUGUAUAAAUCGGUAUCUGAAAUAUCACCAGAUUUGGGUCUUGCACAACCACUCGGAAAUGGACAGGAUCGAGAUA